GACAGAGGGGGCAAGCGUUGCUCGGAAUCACUGGGCUUAAAGGGCGCGUAGGCGGGCUGUCAAGUCUGGGGUGAAAUCCCGCGGCUCAACCGCGGAACUGCCUCAGAUACUGACGGUCUCGAGGGGGGUAGGGGCGAGCGGAACUGAUGGUGGAGCGGUGAAAUGCGUUGAUAUCAUCAGGAACUCCGGUGGCGAAGGCGGCUCGUUGGACCCCUUCUGACGCUGAGGCGCGAAAGCCAGGGGAGCAAACGGG
rnacentral:rRNA from 1 species